rnacentral:lncRNA from 1 species
AUUUUCAGGCUCCUCAAGGAGCUCACAGAAUUGGAACUUCCUACAACAAUCAUAUCAUCAAGGAAGGAAGAUGGAGAGUCUCAGGACCAGCUACCAAAGAAGCUCCUUUGAGGCUACUAUGCAUUGGUCUAUGACACUACUCACUGUGUUGACAACCCUGUCAUUUCAUCUGGAAAGCAGUUUGUCUAUUGGAAUAAAUGAA